UCGAGGAUCUUCCGCAAUGGGCGAAAGCCUGACGGAGCGACACCGCGUGCAGGAUGAAGGCCUUCGGGUCGUAAACUGCUGUCAAACUAUAGGAAACGCGAGGCGUUAACAGCGCUUCGCCUGACUAAGGUGAGAGGAAGCACCGGCUAACCCUGUGCCAGCAGCCGCGGUAAUACAGGGGGUGCAAACGUUGCUCGGAAUCACUGGGCAUAAAGCGCACGUAGGCCGCUAGCUAAGUCAGGUGUGAAAGCCCCCGGCUCAACCGGGGAACAGCACCUGAUACUGGCUAGCUCGAGAAUGGUAGGGGUGAGUGGAACUCCAGGUGGAGCGGUGAAAUGCGUAGAUAUCUGGAGGAACACCGGUGGCGAAAGCGGCUCACUGGACCAUUUCUGACGCUGAGGUGCGAAAGCUAGGGGAGCAAACGGGAUUAGAUACCCCCGUAGUCCCUGAGCGGGCUGGCAAGGCGCAU
rnacentral:rRNA from 1 species